rnacentral:rRNA from 1 species
CAGUCGCCACGGUGAUACGAAGGGGGCUAGCGUUGUUCGGAUUUACUGGGCGUAAAGGGCGCGUAGGCGGUUCAGCAAGUCUCGUGUGAAAUCUUCGGGCUCAACCCGAAGUCUGCACGGGAAACUACUGGGCUUGAGUAAUGGAGAGGUGAGUGGAAUUUCCGGUGUAGCGGUGAAAUGCGUAGAUAUCGGAAGGAACACCUGUGGCGAAAGCGGCUCACUGGACAUUUACUGACGCUGAUGCACGAAAGCUAGGGGAGCAAACAGGAUUAGAUACCCCAGUAGUCCCUGUCUCUUAUAC